ACUCAAAUACUGUAAUCCUUUAAAAGAUUAUGGUGCAAUUUAGGUCACUAAAUCACAACCUUUGUAUUAACACCUAAAUCCAUUCUUCAUUAAGUUAGUUUUGUUUCUACCCCAAAUAUUCUUUGCAUGAAUAAAAUCAAAAUACAUUACACUUUUAACUCCACGUGCAUGUGUACAAUUGUAUAUGCUCAUGGUGGCAAUAGAAGGGUGGAGAGUAGGAACAGAGGAAAGGCCCAUGAUAAAAUGAAAAACAAUUCGUAUGGGUAUCACUAUUCCAAAACAUGAGGAAUCCGGCCUUCAACUGGACACAUUUUUAUUCCAAAAACCUGGAGAGAAUCUAGUGCUAAUGAACUAUUGAACCUGCUUGCCAUCUUUCGAUCUCUUUUCUUUGCAGGCGGAUCCAUGGGAAAAGAAAGGAAUUUGAAGCGCACUGAAAUUUGUGAGCUUAGACAUAUGCUAAGAGUACAGUUAACUUGAGUUACUUUUUCCAUGUUGCUGAAUUGGGUCCUGAAUGAGGCAGUUUUGUGACUUAAACAGAUUUCACUAAUUUUCCUUCCUUGCACAUUUAAAAAACAAACCACACUCUCCCAUAUUGCUGUUUGGGUUUUAACCGAGCGAAGGCAUGCACACCCAAUUACUAUAAGCACUUUAAGUAAAGCUUAAAGAUAUGCAGCAUGUUCUUAACUGCAAAUGAUGUGAUAGGUAGUGUCUUUCCUCUCUAGUUUUAUGUCACAUCCAAGAGAUUAAUCCUCUCAUGAAUCAUCCAUAAUGACUAGAAUAAUUUGGGGAACUGAAUGAAAUUUUUCAAAUUAUUUAUAUCAUAAACUCACAAGAAUAUGAAUGGUGGGUUAUGCAAAUACAAACCAUGCUUACAAAAGCUAGAUACAAAAAAAGGAGGGGUGAGGGUUAAGUUUAUAUUUCUAAAGCUUGGCUUAUUCAAAUUAAUACAGAAUGGCCUUAUUACUUCCCCGGUGAAUGAUCUCUGUUACAGCUUAUGAAACACAUAAGGGAAACUUAUUGUUUCCAAUAUUUGAAUGGAAAAAAUAAUUAUCUUUUGUAUAGCUUAGAACAAAAGUACCAAAUUCUUUAAGGAUGUGAGAAGCCCAUAUGAUACGGGGUUCAUAAUAAUAUUUUUUUAAAAAAUAAUUCUUUAAAAUAUCCAGAGAUUUCUUCCUAUUUGAAACAAAUAGACAGCAUAAAUUUUACACUCCUUUCAAACAUGGUUUCAGACAAAAGAUAAUACUCUAUUUCCCAUCAUAUUUAAGAAAGAUGGUGGUGUUGUAUAGGAAACAUUGAUGAAAUAUCUCCAAAAUUCUAUACCAUCAGGCUAAAAAUUCAUAUGAAACUAUACAAUACAUAAAACAUUUAAUAGAGUUUUAAAUUAUACAGUACAUUAAAUUUUUAGUUGACUUAUCUGAAAAGACAUUUUUGGAAUGUAAAUAAAAAUGCAAGGAGAAGAACCUGUCAGAAAGUAAAUAAAGUAUGUAAAUUAAAUAAAAGGUAAGGCAGCUACACUUUUUAUAUAAAUAACUGUGUUAACAGAGCUUUAUGCAUAUUACAAUACAUUCAGAUGUAGAGCUUUUGCAAAAAUAAAUUCAUUGCUCCUCUCCAAAGAAUGGAUUAAAACAAUUUAUUUUAUAAAAUUUGGAUAGAUAGAAUAAGAAAUGUAAUAGCCAUCCAUGGAAAAUAAAUAUAAAAAUUAUUCAAGCUCCAUCUACUUUAUGUUAGUAAUGAGAUGCACUUCAUUCAAAUUCCUUUCAAUUGAAACAGUGCUGAGGAAGCAAAAACAUGAUUCUGUAGGAAAUGAUUUCUAAUCUUCAUGAUAACAUACCGAUAUAAUACAAUUAUUUACAAUUGACUAAGAGUUAAUUUCAAUAGUAUAACAUCUUUCUUGCAAAAAUGUCAGCUUUUAUUGAUGAAACAAACUAAGAAUAAAACAUUUUUACUUGUAGUAUUACAGUGCUGUUUUUCAUUCUGUUAACCAAAACAACACAGUAAUACUGUAAACAAAAAAAUAACAUCAGACUGCUUGUGUUUGCAUGAUUUUACCAAGAAUCAUAAGCAACGGAAUGAAGUAUAUUAGCUGUAAUUUUGGAAAACACUUGAUUCUUUUAGAAUUCAGUCAUGCUACUCUCAAGAAGUGACCAUUGGACAAACUUUGUUAAUUAUCUAUUAUCUCAUGAGAAUAUCAACUAACCCUCUUGAACCACCAGAUUGGUUAAAUCAAACAACUAUCAUCAUAGAGGAAUAAGACUCAUUCUUAACUUUUAUUUAUGGAGUACAUACUCUGUGCUAGGCUUUGUCGCGGGCAUAGCUUUGAAAACAAGUUGGCACUUGUAUAGUCUAAUUUCUUCACUUAAGGUUUGAAAAAUAAUUAUCCUAGUAAAUAAAGUGAUUUACCUAUACUCACCUUGGCAUGGCUGGGUUUAAUAUACACUUAUAUUCCAGAAAAAUCUUUUGUACAUUCAAACCUCUGUUCUCAGCAGUCUACAACUGGGAAUGGUAAUUGCAUAAUGUUGACUGUCAUUAUGCUGGUGUUUUCCCAUACACUGGCUAAAACUCCACCUUGCUUUGACUACUUUGAAUAGGAUAUUUGCUAUUAAAUUUUAAGAAAUAGAGAUAGAGCUUGAAGAAAUAGGUUGAUUCCACAGGAAUAGUUUUAUUAGAUCUCAUUAGUUAAGCAAAUCUUCCUUGAGUCAUAUUUAAUAUUACAUUUUAAUUUUCUACUAAGGAUCUUUAAUAGAAACUACAAAAAUAAAAAUUCCUUUGGCAAUGCUCUAACUUAUAUAAAGAAUAGUAUAAAACAAUAUUUUCAGAAUCGAAGUCCAAAAAAAGCUUUUACUUCUUAAAAUAGUAUUAUUUUCUUCUUUUUUGCCCUGGCUACCAGGAAAGUCAGAGCAAAAUAUGAAUUUCAUUAGCAGCAAAAACACUAGUUUAUGUCUUAUUUGUUUCUACAUCUUUUCCAUCAUCCUGAUUUACUGUCUUUUUUAAGAUGGGAGGAAGUAUGAAAAUAUUAAGUAGAUACUGUCUCUGUUUUCCUGGAAAGCGUACUUAAUAGUGUCAUAGAAUAAUAAUAUCAUAAAUGCCUUUAAAACUGAAUAAUUAACAUGCACUUUCUUUUCCCAUGAUUUGCUCAAUGGUUCUGAAUCUACUGCAUUCCCCAGAAUUUCAUGAAAGGUUUCCAAGAACGCUAUUUCUAUCAUAUUCUUAUAUAAACUGGCAUGUCAAUGGCAGUAUAAAAAUUUGUAAUUAUAAUACUUACCAUAGUUCUUCUAUUGCUGGGCACUCUGUUGUAUACUUUUUGUGUGUUAUUUUUCCUAUCAUUAACUCAAUCCUGAAUUGUUCUUAUUUUAAAGGUAAAGAAAAGGAAGCUUGGAAAAGGUCAGCAACUUGUCUAAUAUUAUUUAGUGAGCUAGUCGGCAGACCUACAAUCUCACUGUGGAUCUGACUACAAAGCCCUUGUUUAUUUUCAUCUGUUUUGUCAGUCCACUUAACACAUGGAAAAUAAAAACAGAAAGUUUUUAAGAGUAUGAAAUCAAUUUAUAAGAUAGAAGUUUAAGUACGAUUUAAUUCAAUUUCUGAUAUUACUAUUUUUAUUGAAUCUACUGAGCAAUAAUUUAUUUCAUUCUCCUUCUGGUUCUUAUUCAAGUCUCCACUACCCCACAGCUAUGUCAUAGACCUAAGAGUAGGUUUGUAACACCUCAGGAUUUUGAAAUAGUACUAACAAGUCUUACUCAUGGUCUAAAGUUUACGUAUUGAUUAUCUUUUCUUAAAUGUUAUUUAAGUGUACAUGUUUAAGGAAAUGUGUGCCUUACACUGUUUUCAUCAAGAACAUUUUACAAUUGUAGCUCAUUUCAUGCUGGUGGAAAGACUAAAACUGAUUAAGGCAUUUCAACAAGUAUAAGAAUCCAUAAAUAAAUGUAGUGAUGCUUCAUUUAAUCAGAACUAAUUACACUAUAAGAAUUACUCUGUCAGGGAAAACAAUAAAACACUUAUGAUUAUGUAAUGUAAAUCUAACUGUUCACCAACUGCCUGAUCAGGACCCCACCAUGCUCAUUCUCUCUGCCUCAGGUCAUUGGAAGGUAAACUGGAUAGACUCAAAACACAUUUGUAGUAAGUACUGGAAUUUGUCUUUGGAUGAGAGGCAGAGUUUUUCUUUCUCUCAUACUAACAAUAUCCUUAGGAUACUUCCGGGAUCUUUUCCCUCCGCAUGCAGUUUAUACUAACAAAUAGAAGAUUCUGAUCAGAACAUAUUGACCAACUAUACCUCAACUGCAUCUAAAUCAUAUUAUAUUGCUACCUUCCUUGAGCCACAGUAUUUUAAAGCUCAUCCACAGUUGCAAAAUGGAAGGUCUUUUUAUUACUUGAAAUAGUUUAAUGGUAGGAUAAGCAAAAUUCAAAUAUGUUUCCCAGGAUUUGAGCCCCCUGGUAUAAAUGCCCAGUAUCAUCCGCUUAAGUGUGAGGAGAACCUCUGAGUCUGAUGGGCUCUCACUCCUAUGGUUAGGUUUUAUUAAAUGGCAAAGGCAAAGUGAUUCUGCAGAUGGAAUCAAGGCUACAAAUUCAUUGAGUCUGAGUUAAUCAAAGGCCAACUAUCUAAAGUGGGCCUGACUUCAUCAAAUCUACCCUUUAAAAGAUGAUCAUCCCUUCACCUAAAAGGAAAGACUUGAAGCAAGAAAGAUAUUCUUGGAGUUCCCAUCGUGGCGCAGUGGUUAACGAAUCCGACUAGGAACUGUGAGGUUGUGGGUUCGAUCCCUGGCCUUGCUCAGUGGGCUGACGAUCAGGUGGUUGCAGAUGUGGCUUGGAUCUGGCAUUGUUGUGGCUGUGGCUGGCAGCUACAGCUCCAAUUAGACCCCUAGCCUGGGAACCUCCAUAUG
rnacentral:lncRNA from 1 species